rnacentral:lncRNA from 1 species
AUGGGUGGGUGAAAAAUUUCCUCUAACUUUCAAAUUUACCCUCAUUUCUUUCUCACGUCUAAAGCAUUUUUCUCUUUUCUCAUUCUUCUUCCCAAUUCCUCCCAACAUUAUCUCCCUUUUUUUCAUGCUUCUAUCCUCACCAACUUGAUCUCCCUUUGACAAAAUCUAGUUCAGCAAAAUCUAGGUCGGAGAGGUAAAUUGAUCAUAUUUUAUUUAUUUUAGAUUUUAUAAGUUUUUUUUUUCUGAGUGAAAAAUCUGAUUAAGUAAUUACCAAUUUUAAGAUUUUAUUUUUUUGAGAUCAUUGAGAAAUAAAUAAAAAUAGAAAAACAGAGACAUAUAUAUUUUAAAUUUUGUUGAUUUAUAUUUUCAUGUUUAUUUUGUGAAUAUCAAAUUUUUUUUGGGGGCAGAUUAACGGAGAGGAUUUUUGACGUAGAAAUUGGGAAAUUGAGAUUGAAAUUGGAAUUAAAAACCUUCCUCAGCAGCUAAGGAGGGAGGGAUAGG